rnacentral:rRNA from 1 species
GACGAACCGUGCGAACGUUGUUCGGAAUCACUGGGCUUAAAGGGCGCGUAGGCGGGCGGCCAAGUCCGGGGUGAAAGCCCCCAGCUCAACUGGGGAAGUGCCUUGGAAACUGGUCGUCUUGAGGGAGGUAGGGGCAUGUGGAACUUCGGGUGGAGCGGGUGAAAUGCGUUGAUAUCCGAAGGAACGCCGGUGGCGAAAGCGACGUGCUGGAUCUCUUCUGACGCUGAGGCGCGAAAGCCAGGGUAGCGAACGGG